rnacentral:tRNA from 1 species
GCUUCAUUGGCCCAGUCGGUAGGGCAACUGAUUCGUAAUCAGUAGGUCGGGGGUUCGAGUCCCCCAUGAAGCUCCA